rnacentral:snoRNA from 1 species
CUUCCCAUUUAUUUGCUGCUGUCGUCUCCCAGUGACACGAGCAGUUAUACGCAUGGGAUACAAUACUGAUGGGCCAUUGUAAAUUGAGAUGGAGUAACUACGUCAUCUCUUCUGCAUGGUCUGGACACUG